rnacentral:rRNA from 1 species
AUUGAACGCCUGGCGGCAGGCUUAACACAUGCAAGUCGAACGGUAACAUAAGGAAGCUUGCUUCUUUGAUGACGAGUUGGCGGACGGGUGAGUAAUGCUUGGGAAUCUAGCUUAUGGAGGGGGAUAACUACGGGAAACUGUAGCUAAUACCGCGUAGAAUCGAGAGAUGAAAGUGUGGGACCUUCGGGCCACAUGCCAUAGGAUGAGCCCAAGUGGGAUUAGGUAGUUGGUGAGGUAAAGGCUCACCAAGCCGACGAUCUCUAGCUGGUCUGAGAGGAUGACCAGCCACACUGGGACUGAGACACGGUCCAAACUCCUACGGGAGGCAGCAGUGAGGAAUAUUGGUCAAUGGGCGCAGGCCUGAACCAGCCAAGUAGCGUGAAGGAUGACUGCCCUAUGGGUUGUAAACUUCUUUUAUAUGGGAAUAAAGUUUUCCACGUGUGGAAUUUUGUAUGUACCAUAUGAAUAAGGAUCGGCUAACUCCGUGCCAGCAGCCGCGGUAAUACGGAGGAUUCGAGCGUUAUCCGGAUUUAUUGGGUUUAAAGGGAGCGUAGGUGGACAGUUAAGUCAGUUGUGAAAGUUUGCGGCUCAACCGUAAAAUUGCAGUUGAUACUGGCUGUCUUGAGUACAGUAGAGGUGGGCGGAAUUCGUGGUGUAGCGGUGAAAUGCUUAGAUAUCACGAAGAACUCCGAUUGCGAAGGCAGCUCACUGGACUGCAACUGACACUGAUGCUCGAAAGUGUGGGUAUCAAACAGGAUUAGAUACCCUGGUAGUCCACACAGUAAACGAUGAAUACUCGCUGUUUGCGAUAUACAGUAAGCGGCCAAGCAAAAGCAUUAAGUAUUCCACCUGGGGAGUACGCCGGCAACGGUGAAACUCAAAGGAAUUGACGGGGGCCCGCACAAGCGGAGGAACAUGUGGUUUAAUUCGAUGAUACGCGAGGAACCUUACCCGGGCUUAAAUUGCAUUUGAAUAUAUUGGAAACAGUAUAGCCGUAAGGCAAAUGUGAAAGUGCUGCAUGGUUGUCGUCAGCUCGUGCCGUGAGGUGUCGGCUUAAGUGCCAUAACGAGCGCAACCCUUAUCUUUAGUUACUAACAGGUCAUGCUGAGGACUCUAGAGAGACUGCCGUCGUAAGAUGUGAGGAAGGUGGGGAUGACGUCAAAUCAGCACGGCCCUUACGUCCGGGGCUACACACGUGUUACAAUGGGGGGUACAGAAGGCAGCUACCUGGUGACAGGAUGCUAAUCCCAAAAGCCUCUCUCAGUUCGGAUCGAAGUCUGCGACCCGACUUCGUGAAAGCUGGAUUCGCUAGUAAUCGCGCAUUCAGCCAUGGCGCGGUGAAUACGUUUCCCGGGCCU